UUCGCAAUGCCCGAAAGGGUGGCGAAGCGACGCCGCGUGGGUGAGGAAGGCCUUCGGGUUGUAAAGCCCUGUCAGGAGUUAUGAAAUGUAAGUGCGCUAAUAUCGUGCUUAUUUGACAAAGGCUCCAAAGGAAGCCACGGCUAACUCUGUGCCAGCAGCCGCGGUAAUACAGAGGUGGCGAGCGUUGUUCGGAACUAUUGGGCGUAAAGAGCACGUAGGUGGGUUUGCAAGUCAGAUGUGAAAGCCUUCUGUUCAACGGAAGAAUUGCAUCUGAAACUGCUAAUCUUGAGCAUAGGAGGGGAGAAUGGAACUUCUGGUGGAGCGGUGAAAUGCGUAGAUAUCAGAAGGAACGCCGGCGGCGAAAGCGAUUCUCUGGCCUAUUACUGACACUCAGUGUGCGAAAGCUAGGGGAGCAAACGGGAUUAGAUACCCCGGUAGUCCUAGCCGUAAACGAUGGGCACUAAGUAGAGGGGUUUUA
rnacentral:rRNA from 1 species